UAAAGAUUCAUCGCUGAUAGAUAGGCAUGCGUUCCAUUAGGCAGUUGGCGGGGUAACGGCCCACCAAACCGACGAUGGAUAGGGGUUCUGAGAGGAAGGUCCCCCACAUUGGUACUGAGACACGGACCAAACUCCUACGGGAGGCAGCAGUGAGGAAUAUUGGUCAAUGGGCGUAAGCCUGAACCAGCCAAGUCGCGUGAGGGAUGAAGGUUCUAUGGAUCGUAAACCUCUUUUAUAAGGGAAUAAAGUGUGGGACGUGUCCUAUUUUGUAUGUACCUUAUGAAUAAGGAUCGGCCAACUCCGUGCCAGCAGCCGCGGUAAUACGGAGGAUCCGAGCGUUAUCCGGAUUUAUUGGGUUUAAAGGGUGCGUAGGCGGCCUUUUAAGUCAGCGGUGAAAGUCUGUGGCUCAACCAUAGAAUUGCCGUUGAAACUGGGGGGCUUGAGUAUGUUUGAGGCAGGCGGAAUGCGUGGUGUAGCGGUGAAAUGCUUAGAUAUCACGCAGAACCCCGAUUGCGAAGGCAGCCUGCCAAGCCAUGACUGACGCUGAUGCACGAAAGCGUGGGGAUCAAACAGGAUUAGAUACCCUGGUAGUCCACGC
rnacentral:rRNA from 1 species